rnacentral:rRNA from 1 species
UACGGAGGGUGCGAGCGUUAAUCGGAAUUACUGGGCGUAAAGCGCGCGUAGGCGGUCUGAUCAGCCGGUUGUGAAAGCCCCGGGCUCAACCUGGGAACGGCAUCCGGAACUGUCAGGCUAGAGUGCAGGAGAGGAAGGUAGAAUUCCCGGUGUAGCGGUGAAAUGCGUAGAGAUCGGGAGGAAUACCAGUGGCGAAGGCGGCCUUCUGGACUGACACUGACGCUGAGGUGCGAAAGCGUGGGUAGCAAACAGGAUUAGAUACCUCCGUA